rnacentral:rRNA from 1 species
CUUAACUGUAAGCUGUUACUGUUUUCUCGGUCUCGUUGCUCAGCGUAAGUGGGAGACUGUGAAACCGCCUUUUAGGGGGCGGUUGAGUCGCCAAUGAGACACCACCCUACGAUAUUGGGAAAUCUAACCUCUAGCCGUUAUCCGGCAGAGGGACACUGUCAGCCGGUCAGUUUUACUGGGGCGGUAUCCUCCCAAAAGGUAACGGAGGAGCGCGAAGGUGGGCUCAGCGUGGUUGGCAAUCACGUGUCGAGUGUAUAGGCAUAAGCCCGCCUAACUGUGAGACCAACAAGUCGAGCAGAUACGAAAGUAGGCCUAAGUGAUCCGGUGGUUGAAUGUGGAAUUGCCAUCGCUCAACGGAUAAAAGGUA